rnacentral:misc_RNA from 1 species
UUUCCGUAGGUGAACCUGCGGAAGGAUCAUUAUUGUAUAACCGAGGUGCGAGGGCUGUCGCUGACCCGAAAGGUCGUGCACGCCCGAGUGCCCUCACACACAUCCAUCUCACCCCUAUGUGCACCACCGCGUGGGUCCCCCUUUGGCUUGUUCGGAGGGGGGCUUACGUUUUCACACAAACUUUGUAUGCAGUGUAGAAUGUAUUUUUGUUUUUGCGAUCACGCAAUCAAUACAACUUUCAACAACGGAUCUCUUGGCUCUC